UUAACUGUCCGAGCCACAGGGUCUGAUUUCCCUCCUGCUGAUGUAGAAUCCCUGUCUCCUUCUCUGUCGGCACUUGGAUAUCACUCCCGCUUUGAAAAAACUUACUCCUUUGACAAAUAUUUACAAAAGCAGAGAGCUAAUGGGGUGACUAAUCUAUCUGAAGAACCUUCUACAUCCUUUUGCGAUCGAUGAUUCCUACUUGGCUUGGCACAUGUACGUUUGACACCUUUUCCUUGACAAGUAAACCAAGAUUGUGCGGUUUUCGUCGUGGCCUACGGUGUAGAAGAGGAGAAUGAGGAAGAAAAUAAUUUGAAGAUUUGCAGAGAGAAGGGAUUGGAUUUCACCCUGUCAUGGAGUCAGUCCAUUGGGAUAAACCAAGUCACUAAUACCAGGCAGCGGAAGUGACCGAAUUUUAUAUUUUGUGUCAGACACAACCUCAAAACAAAGAGGAGCCUCUCCAAGGACCUGGCCAGAUGCAAGCCUGAUCAAUUGCUAGAAGAGGAAUUACAGGUCAAAGGAUGUCUCCAAACUUCCACUAUAUGUUCAAGACUCUACUUCAGGCAGUUUUCAGAGAAAUUUCCAAUGACGUGUCACUUGUACAGCAACUGGAGGAAGAGGGGAGACGUGUCUUCAUACGACUGAGGUUAAUAGUGUCACUUGUACAGCAACUGGAGGAAGAGGGAGACGUGUCUUCAUACAACUGAGGUUAAUAGUGUCACUUGUACAGCAACUGGAGGAAGAUGGAGACGUGUCUUCAUACAACUGAGGUUAAUAGUGUCACUUGUACAGCAACUGGAGGAAGAGGGAGACGUGUCUUCAUACAACUGAGGUUAAUAGUGUCACUUGUACAGCAACUGGAGGAAGACGGAGACGUGUCUUCAUACAACUGAGGUUAAUAGUGUCACUUGUACAGCAACUGGAGGAAGAGGGGAGACGUGUCUUCAUACAACUGAGAAUCCAGAAACCAGAGCCUCGGAGGAGAUGAAAACGUGGCUCUUCACUUGCCUCUUUCAAGCCAAGCAAGCAGGCCAGGGACACCUGAGGUGAGGCAAUGACAAGCUUCCUCAGCAGUUCUUGCCGAAAGAGUCCAAGAAUGAAGGUGGUCACAAAGCACCGAGCUGAUCUCCCUGUGCUAUGCGGGGCAGGCGGAUUCUUAAUCACUGUGCCACCCGGAAGCCCUGGACAGUCUUUACUUCUGAUCAGAGGACACAGAUGACAGAAAUCGUGCAAAUACUGAACUGAAAGUAGCAAAGGAGCCUGAAGUAAGAUGUGAGCUUUGUGCCCUGCGGGAGACGGAAGCAGAGAAGCUGUCAGGGUGGCGCUGGGAUGCCAAGGCUCUUCCUGCCCUCGAGAUCCAUCUUACCUUCCUUCCCCAGAGACAACCAUCUCAAGAAUCUGGAUUUCCUUCUGAAAUGCAGAGAGCAUGGGUGAGAAGCAAAUCCACGCAUGCCUGGCUGAGGUUGCUGAUUCUGCCUGGUCCGCCAGGCGAAGGUGAACCAGACCUGCACGCCUGCGUCAUCUGCACCUGCCUGCUUGGCAUGACUACGUGCCCACCACACCUUGGUGCUCCACGCUGGCUCUUAUCUCACCUAUUUUAUACACAGUAGUUUGUGUCUCUUAACCCCAUACCCCCAUCGUGCCCCUCUCCCCACUGGUAACCACUAGUUUGUUCUCUAUAUCUGUGAGUCUGUUUCUGUUUUGUUACAUACAUUAGUUUCUAUUUUUUAGAUUCCAUACAUAAGUGAUAACAUACAGUAAUUGUCUUUCUCUGACUUAUUUCACUAAGCAUAAUACCCUCUAGGUCCAUCCACAUUGUUGCAAAUGGCAAAAUUUCAUUCUUUUUUAUGGCUAAUAUUCCAUUGUAUAUAUAUACCACGUCUUCUUUAUCCAUUCAUCUGUUGAUGGCCACUUAGGUUGCUUCCAUAUCUUGGUCAUUGUAAAUAAUGCUGUUAUGAACAUUGGGGUGCAUGUAUCUUUUCAAAUUAGCGUUUUCGUUUUCCUUGCAUAUAUACCCAGGAGUGGAAUUGCUGGAUCAUAGAGUAGUUCUAUUUUUAAUUUUUGAGAAACCUCCAUACUGUUUUCCAUAGCGGCUGCACCAAUUUACAUUCCCACCAACUGUGCACGAGGGCUCCCUUUCCUCCACACCCUCACCAACAUUUGUUAUUUGUAGACUUCUUGAUGAUAACUAUUCUGACAGAUGUGAGAUGAUAUCUCAUUGUAGUUUUGGUUUGCAUUUCUCUGAUGAUUAAUUAUGUGGAGCAUCUUUUCAUGUGCCUGUUGGCCAUCUGUAUGUCUCCUUUGGAGAAAUGUCUGUUCAAGUCUUCUCUGACGCAGUUCACACUCAUACUGAUCUACUUAUUAAACAGUCGCCUGGCCACACCCUCA